rnacentral:misc_RNA from 1 species
GAUGAAGAACGUAGCGAAAUGCGAUAAGUAAUGUGAAUUGCAGAAUUCAGUGAAUCAUCGAAUCUUUGAACGCACAUUGCGCCCGCCAGUAUUCUGGCGGGCAUGCCUGUUCGAGCGUCAUUACAACCCUCAGGCCCCCGGGCCUGGCGUUGGGGAUCGGCGGAAGCCCCCUGCGGGCACAACGCCGUCCCCCAAAUACAGUGGCGGUCCCGCCGCAGCUUCCAUUGCGUAGUAGCUAACACCUCGCAACUGGAGAGCGGCGCGGCCACGCCGUAAAACACCCAACUUCUGAAUGUUGACCUCGAAUCAGGUAGGAAUACCAGCUGAACUUAAGCAUAUCAAUAAGCGGAGGA